GACUGCAGGGAUGAGGAGGCUGAAGGACUUGAUCCUUUCUUGUUGGUUCCUGCUGGCUUCCUGUUUGCUUGAAGCUACUGUAAAUAUCACCCUAGCAACACUCCUUCUCCUGGGCAGCAAGUUAUUAGCUCACCCAAUCCAGAAGAAUGGAGAAAUAUAAGCAGGGAGAAAUUCUUGUGGCUGAGACUUGAGACUGGCCAGAUGUUUACCAAAUGAAUUUCCACCAGUUCCUGGGCAUCCAUCUCCUUGACUUCAAAGAGAAUUUCCCGGAAUGAAACCACUACACAGCGAAACAAUCUGUCCAUCUUCUGCUUCCAUUGUAUUUGAAACUCAGCAUCAGUAUCUGUGUACAGCUGAGCCCAGUGAAGUGUUGAAUCCGACAAAAACUCCAGCACUCUACCACAUGCCAAUGGAGUUCCUUUGCAAAGCUCCUGGUUCCCAAAUGGAAAUCCUGUCUUGGCUCUUUGGAGGCACUGACGAGUUUUGAGAGAGAGCAGACCAAGACCUGGAUGUUUACAAUUAUGUGUGCUUUUCCUUGACAUCAGUGCUUUAACAUGUGGAUUGAUCCUGUGUGGUCCAUGCAUAAAAUCAGGGGGUAAGCAGUAUUUGAGGA